ensembl:lncRNA
UUAGGGUUAGGUUAGGGUUAGGGUUAGGUUUAGGGUUAGGGUUUGGGUUAAGCUUAGGGUUAGGGUUAGGGUAGGGUUAGGUUUUGGGUUAGGGUUAGGGUAGAGUUAGGGUUAGGGUUAAGGUUAGGGUUAGGGUUAGGAUUAGGAUUAGGGUAAAUUUAGGGUAAGUGUACUGUAAGGGAUAGGGUUAGUUUAGGGUUAGGGUUAUAGUGAGAGAAAGUCUUAGUUUACGAUUAGGUUUUCAGAUAGGCUAAGGGUUCGGUUUGGGGUUAGUGUUAGGAUAAUGGUUAUGGUUGGGGUAGGGUUAGGGUUAGGGUAGUGUUAUUGAUAGGUUUGGGCUUCGGGUAAGUUUGGGUAGGGGUUUUGGUUAGUGUUAUGUUUAGCUUUAGGGUCAGAGUUAGGUUUGUGUUAGGAUUAGGUUUAGCGUUAGGCUUAGGGUAAGAUUAGGGUAUGGGUUACGGUUAGUGAUAGGGUUAGGGUUAUUGUUAGGGUUAGGUUUAUGGUUCGUGUAGAGUAGGGUGGGGUUACAUUUAGGGAUAAGGUUAGGGUUACGUUUAAAAUAAUAUUAAGCAUUUGGGAUAGGGUUAGAGUUAGGGUUAAGGUUCGGGUUAGACUUAGGGUUAGGGUUAGGGUUAGUGUUAGGGUUAGGGUUAGGGUUAGGGUUAGGGGUAGGGUUAGGGUUAGGGUUAGGGUUAGGGUUAGGGAUAGGGAUAGGGUUAGGGUUAGGGUUAAGGUUGGGGUAGGGUUAGGCAUAGGGUUAGGGUUAGUGUUAGGGUUAGGCAUAGGGUAACUUUAAGGUAAAGGUAGGGCAAGGGAUACGGUUAAGCUUAGGGUUAUGGUUAGGGAUAGGUCUAGGGCUAGGUUCAGGGUUAGGGUUAAGGUUAGGGUUAGGGUUAUUGUAAGUUAUAGUGCUAGGGUUAUGGUUAGUGUUAAAGUUAGGGUUAGGGUUAGGUUUACGGUUAGGGUUAGGGUUAGGCUUAGGGUAAGUGUUAAGGCUAGGGUAGGGGUUAAGCUUAGGGUUAAGGUUAGGGUUAUUGUAAGGGUUAGGGUUAGGGUUAGGAUUAGAAUUAGGGUUAGGGUUAGGGUUAGGGUUAGUGUAAGGGUUAGGGUUAGGGUUAAGGUUAGGGUUAUAGUAAGGGUUAGGGUUAGGAUUAGGUUUAAGGUUAGAGUUAGUGUUAGUGUUAGGGUUAGGGUUAGGUUUAGGGUUAGGGUUAGUGUUAGAGUUAGGGUUAGGUUUAGGGUUAGGAUUAGGUUUAGGGUUAGGGUUAGGGUUAGGGUUAGGGUUAGGGUUAGGGUUAGGUUUAGGGUUAGGGUUAAGGUUAGGGUUAGGGUUAGGGUUAGGGUUAGGGUUGGGGUUAAGGUUAGGGUUAGGGUUAGGGUUAGGGUUAGGGUUAGGGUUAGGGUUAGGGUUAGGGAUUAGGGUUAGGGUUAGGGUUAGGGUUAGGGUUAGGGUUAGGGUUAGGGUUAGGGUUAGGGUUAGGGUUAGGGUUAGGGUUAGGGUUAGGGUUAGGGUAGGGUUAGGGUUAGGGUAGGGUUAGGGUUAGGUUUAGGGUUAGGGUUAGGGUUAGGGUUAGGGUUAGGGUUAGGGUUAGGGUUAGGGUUAGGGUAGGGUUAGGGUUAGGGUAAGGGUUAGGGUUAGGGUUAGGGUUAGGGUUAGGGUUAGGGUUAGGGUUAGGGUUAUGGUUAGGGUUAGGGUAGGGUUAGGUUUAGGGUUAGGGUUAUGGUUAGAGUAAGGUUUAGGGUUAGGGUUAGAGCUAGGGUUAGGGUAAGAUUUCGGGUAGGGUUAGGCUUAGUGUUAGGAUUAUGGUUAGGGUUAGGGUUAUGGUUAGGAUUAGGGUAACGGAUGGGGUUAGGGUUAGGGUUAAGGUUAGGGUUAAGGUUAGGGUUACAGUAAGGGUUAGGUAUAGGAUUAGGUUUAGGGAUAGGGUUAGGGUUAGGGUUUGGGUUAGGGUUAGGGUUAUGGUUAGGGUUAGGGUUAGGUUUAGGGUUACGGUUAGGGUUAGGGUAAGGGUAGAGAUAUUUUUAG